GGGUUCUGGGAGUGUGUUGGGGGGCGGGGAUGACGUCUUCUCUUGCCUAUCAAGCUGGUGCUGUUUGUGUGUGUAUCACUUGCUUAGCAGCAUCAAGACCUUUAGCUAAAAGGAGAGGCUGGCUUAAAGGAUUGGAGCACCCGGGGGAUUCGCUGUUUGAUGGAAACAGAGCGCGCUUUGAUGUCACCCUGAUGACGUCUGUCAUCUUCCCCACACCUGCUAUGGCAUGGCUGCCUUCAGUCACAAGCCUGAUUCACAGCACACUCUAUGUUUAGCAGCGCUCUGAGAAGGAUUCCAGUCUGCCUUCAGCCCUAAAUAGCUACAAAUAUCAGAGUAGCAGCGGCAGCCCUUCAAAGGCCUUUUUGGGAAGUGUCAUGCCAGAGAUGGGGUGACACAGAGGAGCCCCAGAAAGAAGCAAGAUGUCACCUGGAAACUGGAGGGAAAAAGAAGAAAUGAACCAGCGUCGACUGCUAAGAAGGUGAAGAAAUGAACCAGCGUCGACUGCUAAGAAGGUGAAGAAAUGAACCAGCGUCGACUGCUAAGAAGGUGAUAAAGUUGACCAUCUGUUCCUCAGGUAGAAAGUCA
rnacentral:lncRNA from 1 species